rnacentral:lncRNA from 1 species
CAACGCAGAGCACCCUUCCACCUCCUGAACCAACCCAUGGGAUGCACUGGGCUUGUUACCUGAUUGCUGAUUUCAUUCCUCACCUCCCUCUAAGAACAACCAAGUGCCUAACGGGGGUGGGGGUGGAGGGGAUUCUGUCUCCUGGUCGUCAGGGCAGUCACUCCCCCCUAUACUUCACCACGCCUCUCAUCAAUGCGCCAAGCCCAUUCCAUGUCCAGUAACCAGCUUGAAAUCAAUCAACCUCCACUCUUACUUUGUGUGACUUGGCUUGAGGCGAAUGAAAGAAGGGAGAGGCCCAGAUGGAAGUAAAAAGGCCCUUCUCGAGAACCCUCAAGAGACGGGUCUGUGGGGAAGAGAUGCAGCCUGCCCACCGAGUGAUUCUGGUCUGCUUUGACACUCUCCCUUCAUGACCUCCCAUCAGCUUUCCUGAUGCCAAAGGUCAGGCGAGUCUGAUUCUGGAACACUGCAUGCCCAGUAUUCAAGCCAAGUAACUCUGGCUUGGGAUUUCUGCCUCUGCAGAACCCAGAGGCAGUCAGAAAGGUGACUGCCUGGGAGUGUCCGGAUGUGGUGCUGCAGGAGCUGUCUGAAUGUGACCCACAGAGGUGAAGGCAGAACCAUGUGCUUCUAUCAGGUGACCUCGUUUUGACCCCAGAGUUGGGGGCAACCUGUAACCUAGCCCUGCUCACCAGGCAUGGCCUGGGCAACCACCAUCACAAAUCCCACCUCUGAGCUGGGAUAAGCUGACACCAGUCAGCUGCUGGGCUCUGCUGGGUCUCUGCUUGCCCUCUGGAGGCCAUGGUCUCUAAUGAGGAUUCAGAGCCCUUCCUCCUGCUUCCUGACCAAACCCAUGGAUGGACCACCCUUGCCUGGUGCACCCAACAGCUGGCAUCCAUCCUACUCUCCCUCUGGGAACCGCCAUGUGCUCACUUACAGAGGGUGGUGUUUCUCUCUCCAAGCCUCCCAGGACUCUUGCCCUCAUUCUCCCCCUCCCUCUCCUAUAGCAUUAUUCUAGAUCCAUCAGCUGAUCCCACUUCAUCAGGUCCACCAACUGGAAAUUCAUCUGCCUUCCUGCCUUAAGACAGGAGACCCCAUUUCAGCUCAUGUUCUUCCCUCAGGGUGAACCACAGGAAGUUCUAGACAGUGUGCAUAGAAAAAGAAAAGGGAGACCUAGGGGAAAAUUUCCAAGCCAGACCCCAGUGAGGAGGACAGCCCGGCCAGCCACACCCUCUGCUUCCACACACCCUCCAUGCCCGUCCACAAGCUCUGCUUUUUCCCCAACCAAGGCCUGCCUGGAGAAAACUGCAUACCCAACCUUCAGGACAAAUGCCUUUGCCUUCUGGGUUGUGCCGCGGGAACAUCCAAAGGCAUUCAAGACCCCAGACAGCCUUUCAGAGCAUGUGGUCUUUGGGCUUUGGGCUCAGCAGGGAUGAGACCCCUAUUUGAGAAGGAAGAACUCUGUACCCACCCUCAGGAGAAGUAUUUGGGACCCGAGAGUCAGAAGUAACCUGUCACUCACUGUUUACCAGCGGGGCAUGUCCCUGGGGGUUCCGCCAGCGCCCAUCUCCCACUCCAUGUCUGAGGCUGGAAGCACCAACACCAAGCAGCAGAUGGGCCACAGCAGUGCUCUUCAUCCCCUAGCAGCCCAUAGCUCUGCCGACAUUUCAAACCCCGUCCUUCUACCUCCCGAUGUCACUUGAUUUUGUUUUGCACAGCUCACCAAUGCCUUUGAUCCUGCUUUCAUACUUCUCUGUCUCUCAGAAAAAUUAAGAGCCUUACGGAGGGGGCAAGCGUUUUCCCUCUCAAAGCCUCCCGCAGCCCUCACUGCUCCCUGUCAGCACUGCUUGAAGUCAAUCACCAGGAAAAACUCCAACUCAGGUUCUGGUGUGAUGUCUUGAAGGCCCUGACCUAGAAGCCUCAGCCUGGGCCUCAGAGGGGCUGGCACUGGUAGUCAGAAGGUUUGCAUCUGGACAAGGAACAGGAUAGACUCACUACUCAUCUAUUAGUAAACAAAUAUAGUGCAAGCUUAGUUUUUUUAUUGUGUAGAUUUAGGAUUAGUUUCUGAUAUAUGUUCUACAAUUGGUAUGUAAGAUUUUUGUAUUAAAUAUUUUUCUAUCAAUUUGCUUUUUAAAUAUUUUUCUAUAAAAUAAAUUGCAUAUGUAGAAAAGCCCCCUAAACUUAGGUAAAACUUAAUGAUUUGGUAUCAGGCAGUUACCUUAGUGUCCACCCCCAAGAUCACCCACUCUCCUAUCAUCCUCAUUUGGAGUUGACUUAAGAAGGGGACUAUGAAUUUAGUACUUUCCAUCUGCCCUAUGUCAGUGUGUUUUUAAGGAUCCUGUUGUCUGAAAUGUGUUAAUUCUUUUGAUCGUGGGAACAUCAUCCUCGAUCCUUCAUGAUGACAUGAAUGUCAGGGUCUUUGACACCCAGUCACUCACCUGAUAUAAAAUCCAUGACUCACCAUUUCUCUCCUCAGUGUCUCUAACAUAUUGCUCUUAAUUUCUUCUGGGACAGCCUAUUCACUCUAUACGUGAUCAAAAUAUCAUUUUUCUUCCCUUAUGUGUUUCUUGCUCUUUUAUUCUGGAUGCCCAAAGGAUUUUUUUCUUUAAAGAUCAGUAGUUUUAUAAUUUGCUCUUAGUCAUUGCAAGUCAAUGUUCAUUUUCUCUUUAAUACAAAACUUCAAAGGUUUUUCAUAUUGAAAAAAAUUUGCGCAAUAUUAUUCUCUGUGUAUCCUUGCUGUGGUUUUUCUGUUUCAGGUCCCUCAGUCCUUCAAAUAUCAGAUUUCUUAUGAUUAUACUUCACUUUUGACACAAUCA